CUAAGGGCGCAUGGUGGAUGCCUUGGGUCUGAGAGGCGAAGAAGGACGUGGUAAGCUGCGAUAAGCCAGGGGGAGCUGCACACAAGCAUUAUAUCCCUGGAUUUCCGAAUGGGUCAACCCACUAUACUGAAGGUAUAGUACUCGAAAGAGAGCCAACCCCGAGAACUGAAACAUCUAAGUACCGGGAGGAAAAGAAAACAAUAGUGAUUCCCUGAGUAGUGGCGAGCGAAAAGGGAAUAGCCUAAACUUGAGCGGCGUGCCGCUUGAGGGUUGUAGGACUGCAUUUAGAAAUCAUCAUCAAGUAAAAUCAUCUGGAAAGUUGAGCCAUAGAGGGUGAUAGCCCCGUAAACGAAAAUUGAUGAGGACGAGCAGUAUCCUGAGUAAGGCGGAACCGGAGGAAUUCUGCCCGAAUCUGCCAGCACCAUCUGGUAAGGCUAAAUACUCCUCAGACACCGAUAGUGAACCAGUACCGUAAGGGAAAGGUGAAAAGCACCCUAAACAAGGGAGUGAAAUAGUACCUGAAACCGUGCGCCUACAAGCGGUCGGAGCUUCGCAAGAAGUGACGGCGUGCCUUUUGCAUAAUGAGCCUACGAGUUGCUCCUCACUGGCGAGGUUAAGUUCGUAAUUAACGGAGCCGUAGCGAAAGCGAGUCCAAAUAGGGCGCUUAGUCAGUGGGGGCAGACGCGAAACUUUGUGAUCUAUCCAUGGGCAGGUUGAAGGUUAGGUAAAACUAACUGGAGGACCGAACCCGUUNNAAGUCUGUUAGAGGUAGAGCUACUGAUUGGGCUAGGGGGCUUCACCGCCUACCAAACCCUGACAAACUCCGAAUGCUAACAGAUAUCUCCGGGAGUGAGGCUGCGGGUGCUAAGAUCCGUGGCCGAGAGGGAAAUAACCCAGAAUAGCAGCUAAGGUCCCUAAUACGUAGUUAAGUUGAUCAAACGAGGUGAGACUUCUAUAACAGCCAGGAUGUUUGCUUGGAAGCAGCAAUUCAUUUAAAGAGUGCGUAACAGCUCACUGGUCGAGAGGUCUUGCACGGAAAAUAAUCGGGCAUCAAACUACGAACCGAAGCUCUAUGAUCGCCGCUAAGCGGAUGAUCGGUAGGGGAGCAUUGAAACUGCAUCGAAGGUGUACGGUGACGUAUGCUGGAGCGGUUUCAAAAGAAAAUGUAGGCAUAAGUAACGAUAAAUAAGGUGAAAAACCUUAUCGCCGAAAGUCUAAGGGUUCCUGAUCAACGUUAAUCGGAUCAGGGUUAGCCCGGUCCUUAGUCAAACCCGAAAGGGGUAGAUGAUGGAAAGCAGGUUAAUAUUCCUGCGCCUGCUAUACAAUAAAAGUGACGGAGAGCCGUGGUCGCUGCGUACUGACGGAUAUGUACGCCUGAGUGGAGUCUUCGGACAAAGCGAAGUGAUAAAAGCUCUUCCAAGAAAAACGAGUAUAGCAGCCGGUACCGCAAACCGACACAGGUAGACGGGAUGAAUAUUCUAAGGCGCUCGGGUGAGCCGUGGAGAAGGAACUAGGCAAAUUGACGCUGUAACUUCGGGAUAAAGCGUACCAUCUUCGGAUGGUCUCAGUAAAAUGGUUCAACCAACUGUUUAACAAAAACACAGGGCCCUGCAAAAUCGAAAGAUGACGUAUAGAGCCUGAUACCUGCCCGGUGCUGGAAGGUUAAGGAAGGNNNNNNNNNNNNNNNNNNNNNNNNNNNGUGGAGCGGUCGUUGAAAUACCAACCUUCUUUGAUUUAGAGUCUAAUCCCUUGCGGGAAACAGUGCAUGGUGGGUAGUUUGACUGGGGUGGUCGCCUCCUAAAGAGUAACGGAGGCUUGCAAAGGUACCCUCAGUACGGUUGGUAAUCGUACGAAGAGCGCAUUAGUAUAAGGGUGCUUGACUGUGAGGCACACAAGCCGAGCAGGGACGAAAGUCGGCUAAAGUGAUCCGGCGGUUCUGUAUGGAAGGGCCGUCGCUCAAAGGAUAAAAGGUACUCCGGGGAUAACAGGCUGAUCUCCCCCAAGAGCUCAUAUCGACGGGGAGGUUUGGCACCUCGAUGUCGGUUCGUCACAUCCUGGGGCUGGAGAAGGUCCCAAGGGUUCGGCUGUUCGCCGAUUAAAGUGGCACGUGAACUGGGUUCAGAACGUCGCAAGACAGUUCGGUCCCUAUCUGUGGUGGGCGCAAGUAAAUUGAGAGAACAUGACCUUAGUACGAGAGGACCGGGUCGUACGUACCGCUGGUGUAUCAGUUGUGCCGCCAGGUGCAAUGCUGAGUAGCUAUGUACGGACAGGAUAAACGCUGAAAGCAUCUAAGCGUGAAACCUAUCUCAAGAUGAGUUUACUUUUAAGGGCCGUCAGAGACUAUGACGUUGAUAGGCUAUAGGUGUAAAACUGGUAACAGUAAAGCCAAGUAGUACUAAUUGCCCGUACGCUUUAAUU
rnacentral:rRNA from 1 species